GGGUGAGUAACACGUGACUACCUACCCUUCGAGUGGGGGGAGUAACCUCGGGAAACCGAGGCUAAUACCGCAUAAUAUCGAGAGAUCAAAGGAGCAAUUCGCUUUUGGAGGGGGUCGCGGCUGAUUAGCUAGUUGGUAGGGUAAUGGCCUACCAAGGCGAAGAUCGGUAUCCGGCCUGAGAGGGCGCACGGACACACUGGAACUGAAACACGGUCCAG
rnacentral:rRNA from 1 species